CUGACACAUGCAAAUACUAUGGGCAAUUCAGAGUCACCAGUUCACCUGAAACAUGUCUUUAGACUGUUGCAUGAAGCUGGAGCACCUGGCAUGAAGCAUGGAUCUCAGCAAAGUCAUAAACAUGUGGUUGGAACAUGUGGUUGAACUGUUAGAACUGAGAUGUAAAGUUUUGCCCUAUGUGACCAUUCUGAAAUGUACAUGAUGAAUUUACUGUUUCAGUCCCACCGGAGGUCUUGUCCAGCAGCACCCUCAUGAUGGUGGGCUGCGUGCCCCUUGCCUGGACUUUCAUGUGUGGAGAUGAAAGGCAGGACAGCAUGGACCCAAGCCUGCACUAUUGGCAUCAAAGUUACCCUCAUCCAAGGACCUCAGAUCUAUCCUUCCGUUUUCAGGAUUCCUUCUCACUUACUGACAAACUCCACCAGCCCGAUCAUUCCCAACGGUACGUUUUCAUAGGCAACCCUAGCUCUUCGUAUCUUUCCCCACGCCCAGCUUCAUGGGGCUCGCCCACUAUCAAAUUCCAGGGUUCCCACCACCCAGCAGAGUGGCCUAAGGCGUGGAGCGGGUGGAGAGAGCUGUGAACCCUGGCAGCCAUCUUGUAGGUCUUGUGCAAUAGCCGCCAAGGGAAAACGUGGGGCCCUAAUCGGAUCCCCGAGCAAGAGCAGGGGAAAACAGUGGGGGGCAGUGAAAAUCAGUUUCCCUCCCUGCAACAUGAUCUCCACAACAAGGAGGAAAAGACAGAGGGAGAGAGAACGAGGGCAAAAGCUCAAAGAAGGGCUGACUUGCGGAAAGAGCUGAUUAGCGGAGGACCCAUAUCAGGUAUGCGCAGGGGGGAAGCUCGGCCAGUCACAAGACUGCUGUGUCGUCCUUGUUGGCAUGAGCUGACGCACAAUUCGUCUGUCACACACUCCUUCUGUCACACAAAUACAAAUACAGAAGAAUGCAGAGACCCACACAAAGAAUGCACUAGGGCACACACACUGCUGGAUUCCACAUAUCUUGGGCUGAAUGCUCCAGCCUGUCCUCGACCCUUACUGAGUUUGCUCACUGUCUAGCAGGUUACAUACAGCGGAGCAGAGGUUAAAGAUGGCACAGUGCCAGCGCCACACAGCAAAGCGUGAUGCUGGCAGUUCAUUGGCCACAGGUCCUUGCUUUGCUUUUUGCUCUGCUGAAAUGACAUGUGCUCCUGAACUGGGCCACCUCCCACCCGGACCUUGGCCAUCUGCAAAACAAGGCAGUUAUGCCUUCAGGAAAUCUUUGCUUUCUUUGGCAUCUGAGCAAAGUUGGAGAUUCCAUCACCAUCAACCUGUACGAGACCUCAAGAACUGCCCGAGUUACCAUUGAACAGAAAUUGUGCUCUGAAACAGAUGGAAGGGAUACUUUAGGAAAUGUUUGUUGGUGCCGAUCUGCACAGUUGCUUGAGCCCACAAAUGGUACAGCCUUUAGGGCCCUCAAAAGACCUCCACAAAUCAGAAUUAGAACUCAUUACCUAAAUUCAUACAGUCAGUUCUUUUAUUUUGUACUCAUAUCAUGUGUAACAAUCUUGUGUCUCUAGGCCACUUAUCAUAAAAUGAACCCUAA
ensembl:lncRNA